CCGCCCCCUCCGGGCUCCACGGGGCGCGCGGUCUCCCGGGGCUCUAGGGGGCGAGCACGGCCGGUCCCCGCCCCCGCCUGCCGGAGGGAGCCAGCGGGAUCCCCCACGUUACCUCGAAGGUCGAGCCCCUGGACGGCGGAGGGACUUUGGAAAAGCUCGGAAUUGACCGAGGGGAGCCAGAGAAGAGGUUGGAAACCUUUUCUCCCACCACGGGCGGUUUAAGAUGGAGGAAAACGCUCUUUUAUUGAAAUAAAAGAAGUCUAAGCUGACCUGCGGUUGCUUCUUUAGGAGAGUCGACGUGUCUGCGUCCAGCGCGCCCGGGCUGAGCUGCAGACUCGCGCCUGCCACCGCCACCCUCUGCCACCUUGCCCUGUUUUGUCUUUAUGGCGCUUCCCCCUCUGAAAUACUCUUUGCGGGGAGUUUUGUGGCUCUAUCACUCGCUUCUUCCCUGGCUCCCCAGAUGCCUGGAGAGCGGGGACCUACUUGGUCCCCAACGUCCAGUCCGCAGCAGGGCUCCGUCACUGUCUCCAGAGACUGAACGAAUGACUUUCUAGCAGUAAGGAAGUCCCCGCUGGCCCCGUCCCCCUGCACACGCCGUGGACCUCGCCCAGGGCCCAGGACGCCCCGAGAUGGCCUUGGGCAGGGAACCAGUUGUGGAUUUCCCGGGGGCAGGGUUGGGGGCAGUCCCUGGAACCGGGCCUAGCCCGUCUGGGAGCGGUGGGGUAGAAGUGAAAGGCUUAAGUGUGGGUGCGGGGACUUGCAGCCGCACAGACAAGGCAGACCGGGACUGGGAAGCUGCCCGGAGCGGCUGCUGCGACUCUCCGCUCCGACCUAGCCGGGGCAGCCCUCCCUGCCCCGGGAGAAGACGGCGAGCAGGAGGACCCGCAGAGCCCCGCCCGGCUGCUCCGGCCCCGGGGGCACUGGCACCAUCGGGCUGUGGUCUUUUCCCGAUGCCCGAGCCGUGGACGCGGCCACCUAAGAGCGGUCCGGCGAAGGCAGCGCAGCCGGUGUCCCAGGGACCGGUCCCCAACGCCACUCGGUGCAUUUCCCCAGGCGCUGGCAGGGGCACUGAUUCCUAGCAAUGAGGCCUCCCUUCCCCUUCCCAGGCCGCCCCUCCUCUGACUCCCUCCAGAGCAGGGCCGAGUUUUCCUGGGGAGCCUGGGUCCCGGCGGCCGGGCGGCCGCUGGGAGGUGGAGGAGCCUCUCCAGCCCCGGCCGCAGCUCAUCGUGAGCCAACCGCGCCACCUGCCGGCCAGAUGCGGGAGUGUGCGGCCCCGGAGGAAGGGCGAGCGGACAAAGACCGCAACCCGCAAUCCGCAACCCCGCAGAGAGGUGGUGCGUGCGUUUGGGCGAGCUUUUCAGCCACCGCCAAGUCUCGUGCACUAGGGCUACUCCUACCGUGGGGCUGCGGACAGCGCUCAAGAGGUCCUGGAGUCUGUCGUGACUCUCGCCUGCUGGAUUUCAAAAGAUGGAAUCGGAAAGCGUUUCAAGGAGAAACUCCUAACAAACCUUCCGGGGGUUGCCUGAGUGGCUGCUCUCGGAAAAGCGGAUCCUAAAUAAAGCGGGAGGGUUAUAGGGCGACGUCGAGGAGAGGACAGGUCUCGAGUCACUGCUACAGUUUCAGGUCACUGGGCUCCGCAGCAGAUCGUGUUUUCUCCCGUGGCUCGAGAGCUGCGCUGGUUUCUCAUGCAAACUCAGAGCCGAGCUAAUGACAUGAGCAACUUUUACUUUUACACAAGAUGAGCACGCGUGCCGAGGCGCUGGGCGGCGGCUGUGUGAGUUGGUGGCCCAGACGAACAGCUUGUGCGAGACUCUGGGCAUUUCGGUUUCUAGAUACAAGAUUUGCUUAAAUGUCACAGUCCAAAGAAGUGGAUUUCAGUCAUUGUAGCUACUGAUUGCACACAAGUAAAAAGGGAAAAAAUAUGUACUCGGGGGAUAUAUGUAUGUGUGUGUGCGUGCAUAAAUUAUUUAAAAUAACUGCACUAAAUCCCUUUAAGAAAUGCAUUUCUGGGUUCUUUCAUGUGUCUUUCUGAGUUUUACAGAAAAAGAAGACGAAUAUUGGUCCCUGUCAUUUGGCACACAGAUUCAAAAGAGAAAAGAGCAAUCCGAAUUCUUUUUGAAACCUUUUUAAACAAUAGAUGCUGGCUGCCUCUCUGCAGGAUCUUGAGUGUUGCAUGUAUCUAUCUGUGUUUGAAACGGGAAACUGACUGCCUGCAUUGUUAUAAACAGUAAAAUUUCUAAAACAUGUACCAUUUUUUUCCCCAGGAUAUGCACAUUGAAUAUUAAACAAAGUCUUUCCAGACACAGCUGCCUGAAAGCAAGGCAUCAUUUGCUAGAGUACAUUCACUGACUUUCCCUUUUUUCUUCCUAUGUUUUAGUUCAGGACCCAAGGCAGCCCGAUAAUCAGGAGAACCAAGAAGCAGGAAAUGCUAACUUGGAAAAACUGAACUAUAACUUCCUCUUUAAAUCAUUUCUGGGUUGCAGAACAGAAAUGAGCUGCUGAAAAUUCCUCUGUCCAUUGUGACUACCUAGAACAAAGGUGUUCUAACCUAGCAGAUAUGAUUCCUUGAAGAGUAAGGCAAAAUUUUAAAAAUGAUGGUGGACAAAGGCCACCAUCAAUGCAGAAAACCACCCACAUUAUGGGAAGACAACCUGGAGUUUUCAAAUGUUGGAGACUGUUUACAACACAUCAACGGAGUCAUAAGGAUACAAUGGAAUAUCAUACCUUUAAAAAAGUAAUUCCACUGGAUUUGGACCUAGAGGCUAUGCUUGUCUUCAAAUAGAAUAGUGUAAAAAAUACGUGAAAGAAGGUGUGAGGAAUCCAGAGUCCCACAACCAAGUGGUAAUGAAUAACCAAAGCUCUACCUAAUGAAAUUCCCACCGUUGUUAGAAAACGCUUCUACCACAAGCUACUGCAUCUUAAAUAUACAAAUUUGACACAACAAUUGGUGGGCUUCCGGAAGCCCCCAGGAAACCUAACUGCAGAGUUCAUCCUUUGAUGUCAAGGCUUUGAUGCUGUUUGUUAUGCAAAUAAGAAGCAGGACACUUAUGAGCCCUUUACACCUGAGUGGGAAAAAAAAUGGCUGCAGAGCUCAGGUCUUCAUGCAUCAAGAGGAUGAGAGAGCAAGACAAAGCAAGAGGCCUUUUUUUGUUUGUUUGUUUCAUUUUUUUAAUAAGUUGUUGGGGUAUAGGUGGUAUUUAGCUACAUGAGUAAGUUCUUCAGUGGAGAUUUGUGAGAUCGUGGUGCCCCCAUCACCCGAGCAGUAUACAUUGCACCGUAUUUGUUGUCUUUUAUCCUUUGCCCCCUCCCAUCUUCCCCCCAAGUCCCCAAAGUCCACUGUAUUAUUCUUAUGCCUUUGCAUCCUCAUAGCUUAGUUCCCACAUAUCAGUGAGAACUUAGGAUGUUUGGUGUUCCAUUCCUGAGUUACUUCACUUAGAAUAAUAAUCUCUUUUGCAUCACUGAGGUGAGGAGGGGCAGACAGGAAGGUUGCAGUUCUCAAGGGAGCAAGGCUUUUCUAAAACUUCAUUUGAUGCCGUCCGUGAAUUUUACUCGGUUCUAACAAACAUUUCUUCAGUGUCUACAAUGUACCAAAUCCCACAUGAGGAAGAGGUCAGGAGAUCAAGACCAUCCUGGCCAACAUGGUGAGACCCCGUCUCUACUAAAAAUACAAAAAUUAGCUGGGCAAGGUGGCGGGCGCCUGUAAUCCCAGCUACUUGGGAGGCUGAGGCAGGAGAAUCGCUUGAACUCGGGAGGCGGAGAUUGCAGUGAGCCAAGAUCGAGCCACCGCCCUCCAACCUAGCGACAGAGUGAGACUCCGUCUCAAAAAAAAACAAUAAAUAAAGAGAUUUCUUCCUAGUCAUGACCAUAUGUGAUAUCCACCGCACAGGGUUGUGGGGGCCAGAAACCAUCAGGGACCUUUCCACCACCAGGGGCCCAAGAAGGAGGAGGAGAGACAGAGAAGGCAUGUGCCAAGAUGCUCAGUUCAGUUCUGUAAUAACUCUAGAUCCCUCUCAGGAACAUUUUGCAGAGACAAUGUGUCCUUCUGGAGGAGAAAUUAGAGGAGAUAAUUUGCAUCUCUUUUUGGCUGCAUUGAGAAAAUGAGUUAAAGUAAAACAUCAGAACAAUUUUAUGUUUUAGGCAUGAAAGCCAUUCCCCAAAAGAAGUGUAAAAUGCUUUUUACUUGAAACCUUUCAAUAUAACACCUCUGAACUGAGGUUCACUCAUUCUAACUCAAAAUGCCAACACAAAGCUGCAAGCCCCAGAUAUUAAAUAUUUUAGCUAUUAAACACUUUUAAUAUUUAACAGCCAUGUUACUUUGUGGUUAUCAGAAGAGUUUUGGAAUUAUAGUUGUCUUAUGAUGAAAAAUGAAUAAUAUAUGUGAUACAUGUGUGAUAUACGUGUGAAUAAAAUUAAGCUGGCACAAUUUUUUUAGCCACUUUUUUUUUUUUUUUUUUUUUUUGAGACAGAAUCUCACUGUGUCACCCAGGCUGACUGGAUUGCAGUGGUGGGAUCUUGGCUCACUACAACCUCUACCUCCGGGGCUCAAGCACUCCUCCCAUCUCAGGCUCCUGAGUAACUGGGACUACAAGCACAUGCCACCAUGCCCAGCUAAUUUUUAAAAUUUUUUUGUAAAGGUAUGGUCUUACUGUGUUGCCCAGGCUACUCUUCAACUCCUGGUCCCAAGUGAUCCUCCUGCCUCGGUCUCCCAAAGUGUUGGGAUUACAGGCAUAAGCCACCAGCCAUUUUAGCCACUCUUAAGGGAGAAAUAAUUGUCCGAUCAGAUCUCCAAUUUAUAGAGGUAUUGCAAUAGUAUUCUGAAAAACAAUGUGUAAUUACGAUACAAUGUUGUAAGAAAGAAAAUAAUAUGGUUAUGAACAUAAUUUAUGAUUUACUACAUAAUGACAACGUAAGUUUGGAAACCUAACUUUUCCUUUCCCCAUCAUAAUCUAAAGCAUUUACAAAGCACUUAUGUUCCAAACAAAUAUUUUGUAAUUUCAGAAGAUCUCUGAACAUUCUAAAGAUGUCUAAAAUGACAGAUAAUGCAUUUCUUUAUGUACAGUACAAAUCCUUUAGAUGCUUGCUUAGAUAACGGAAUAAGUGUACUUAUAAAGAAAAUGUUACUUUUGAAAUCAUAUUUAUAUCUUAUUUCUUUAAUCUAACCAUUUGUACCAGUUAGUAAAUAAGAAAAAGCCUUUUCCCUGCUAAAGAUUAUGCCUUUGACCAUUUAUUCAAAUGGACUAAAGAGGGAACUCAGUGAAAACUCCAAGAAACAUAGUAUAGGCUUUUCCCGAAAUUACAUAGUAUUUGGCUCCACAGUAAAUUAGUGAAACCUUAUUAAAAUCAGUUGGACAAAAACUCUCUAGAUACAGAAAUACCAAAGUGACAUUUAUAAAUAUGGUUUGGUUAAAACUGACAUUUUUGGGGGACUUUCUGGACAUAUUACAUUUAAAAACAAUGAAGAAUUUAUCUAAAAUAAGUGUUAACUCAGGAGUCUAUAGACAAAGAUAUGUCAUACAACUUAACAAUGUAAAGUGAUAUGUGGAAUCACUUUCUCUUCGACCUUGGCUAUCUCUGCACAAAUAAAUGGGCUUAAUUCAGGCAAACAAUGUGUUAUUUGAAGUAAGAAGGUAAAAAGAAAUUCAGUUAGUAACGGAUCAUUUGACUCAAACUGACAUUUAAGGUAUCUCAAUUCAACCAUUUGUUUUUCUUCAUAUUCAACUCCGUAUGUAUACGCACCCCAGGUUUUUCUUUUGC
rnacentral:lncRNA from 1 species